rnacentral:sRNA from 1 species
GGCGAAUGCAGGCUUUCGCUGAAGCCUGGAGAGCGAGAGGGGUCGGUGUAGACCGACCCCUCUCACUCUCCAGGCUUCAGGAAGCUAUCCGCAAGCCUGCGGAGCCCGGUGGGAACUCCCGCGGGCUCUGAAGGCUUGCG